CGUAGGGACCAAGCGUUGUUCGGAUCUACUGGGCGUAAAGGGCGCGUAGGCGGCAAUUCAAGUCAGCUGUGAAAUCUCCGGGCUUAACUCGGAACGGUCAGCUGAUACUGCUUUGCUAGAGUGCAGAAGGGGCAAUCGGAAUUCUUGGUGUAGCGGUGAAAUGCGUAGAUAUCAAGAGGAACACCUGAGGUGAAGACGGGUUGCUGGGCUGACACUGACGCUGAGGCGCGAAAGCUAGGGUAGCAAACGGGAUUAGAUACCCCGGUAGUCCUAGCCCUAAACGAUGAAUACUUGGUGUCUGGAGUUUUUAUCCUCCGGGUGCCGUCGCUAACGUUUUAAGUAUUCCGCCUGGGGAGUACGCACGCAAGUGUG
rnacentral:rRNA from 1 species